UACAGAGGUCUCAAGCGUUGUUCGGAUUCAUUGGGCGUAAAGGGUGCGUAGGCGGCGCGGUAAGUCGGGUGUGAAAUCUCGGAGCUUAACUCCGAAACUGCAUUCGAUACUGCCGUGCUUGAGGACUGGAGAGGAGACUGGAAUUUACGGUGUAGCGGUGAAAUGCGUAGAUAUCGUAAGGAAGACCAGUGGCGAAGGCGGGUCACUGGACUGGUAUUGACGCUGAGGUGCGAAAGCGUGGGGAGCAAACAGG
rnacentral:rRNA from 1 species